rnacentral:lncRNA from 1 species
CUUGAUUUAAACACAUUAUGAAGUCCCUGUUCUUAGUUUGUCACUUUUCAAUAAUGCAGGUAUGUAUUCUAUGCUUUUUUAAACAUUAACAUAAACUUUUAAUUCAUUGCAUAUACAUUUUUAAUCCAUUAGUGAAUCUAUGUUAUCGUUUCUUUUCUAUAGGCAUCAGCAACCCAGACAGUUAUUUCGAUGAAAUCUAUUUUGCAUAAAGAAAACAACGUACUGAUGUAGAACGUUUUCCGUACCAUGGAAGUCGUAAUAAGUAUAUAUAACCGGAAG